rnacentral:tRNA from 1 species
GCUGGCGUAGCUCAACGGUAGAGCACCUGAUUUGUAAUCAGGGGGUUGCGGGUUCGAAUCCCAUCGCCAGCUCCA